rnacentral:lncRNA from 1 species
AUAGAUCAAUGCUAAAAAGAAAUGGAUAGAUACUAAAAAGUCAAUCCAUUUGCCUAAGGCAACCACGGAAAAAUAGAUCUUGUGAUAGAUUUUGUAAAAUAAAAUUUUCGGGUAGAUUUUUUAAUAUAGGUUCUAAAUUUAUAUAUUUAUGUGAUUUUUCCUUAAAACAUUAAGCCGACAUUUUUUGAAAAGUAUAAAUAACAUAAAUAUGAUUCUUUUUUUUUUAAAAGUAAUUACACUCUCUUUCACUUUUUAAAUUACUUUACUCUCUCUCCAUAUUAAUAUAUAUAACAUAGCUGACAUAUAUAUAACAUUUUGUGUAUAUGAUGAAAUUUUUGUAAUAUAUUUUGUGAGUUGAAAUUUUUUGUAAUAUUAAAAACAUAAGGCGUGUAUUUGUAUAAAUUAAAGUUAUGAAAAAGGCUCAUGAUAAAUUGGCCCAAACUGAGAUGGCCCAAAAGUAAAAUGUAUGUCUUCACAAAAUACAAGUAGGCGUGUGAAUGGGGUGGGGGAAUAGUUGAAAGUUAACAUUAAGAAGAAAAUGGCGAGGACAGCAAAUCUAUCUCGUAAUCUGAAAGAGCUUCGGGUCCUUUUUUCUCCAAUAUCUGCCCAAAUUACCAAUUUUGAUUCGUGAAGCUACUUCCAUUGAGCCUCAGCUUUGGGCCAGAUAUGGUAAUUCUCCGCUCCCUUUUAUCUUUUUUUUUUUUUUUUUUUUUAAAUUUUAGAAAUGUGUUAUGUUGUUAGUUUAAAUAAAAUAUUUAAUUUGAUUGUUACUUAUUUUAUCCUAUCGUAUCGCUGAAUGUAUCCAUAAUUACUGUAACAUCGAAAUGUGCUAAAGCUCUUCCUUCUAUUGUACGAAGUCAUACUCUGCAUUUUGAAAGAUUAGGUCCACAAAUUGUUCGUUAUUGGUCCAUGUAUAGUAGUUAAUUCUCCAAGGGAGUUCAGUGAGUCCCGAAUCAUGAAUGCAAUCUGUAUAGUCUUUGAUCUCAACAUUAGUGACAGGAUUCCCUUACUUUCUGUCAUGUAGAUAUAACAGAGAGUUAAACUUUUCGCGUACCCAACCAAGGUUUGUUGGCAGUCUGUUAGAAAUUAUACAAGCUAUCCCAUAGUUCCUUUCUUUGCUCAAUGGUGUUAAAACCAUAUACUACAGUGAUAAAACCAUUCUGCACCUGUCUAUUUGUAAGCAAGCAGAGAACUAAUUGAGCUCCUAUUAUGAUUGGAUUAUCUUCCUAUUCAUUUGUGGUUUUUUUCCUAUAGGCAGUACUACUAAUGUUUAUUACUUUGGCAUUUCGUUCACAAAUUCAAAAGGACAAAAUUGUUAUUCAGAAUACCAAACAAGAUAGGCUUGUUAAAAACAUUUGCGUAGUUGAUGUUAUUACGAGCUGCAUCUAGGCAAGCCUUUUGCUACUGUCAUUUCUUAUGCUAUUAUCAAUUUAUCAUUAUCUAGUCAUAAACCGAAAAGCCCAAACCGGCUGUUAUUUAUUUAUUUAUUUAUUUAUUUUCUUGGUUUGAUUUGGUUUUAGAAAUUUAAAAACCUACUAAAUUGGUCUGGUUUUGAUUUUGAACAAUAACUGACCCGUGAACACCCCUACCCACAAGAACCAUAUCCUACCAUUUCUAGCAUAUUGGUAGUUACUGAAAUUCAAAUAUCCAGGUUGAAGAUUAUGCAUUAUUCUAUGUGCUUUAUGAUGUUUGAUUCUGGUUUAAACAAGUCCAGCAACUUUCUCGCAAUGUUUCACCUCCUUCUGUUUGUAACAUUUGUUGGAGCCUCUUAACAUUCUAGAAUAGCCAACUCAUUAAGACAUUGAGAAUGUUCCCCCUCCAUCUCACAGGAUGGAACUACUAGGGAUACCUCCCCUGAUCUUCAGAACUCCAUGGCUACCUCUUAGAUUAGCUGAAAUCAAUGCAAGAAAUUCCUAAUCAUUCAGUUGGGGCCUAACUGGAGCAUUCUACUUGCAUCACUAGUCUGCACAGAGUUAUCAACAUUCAGUUGAUUACCAGUGGGCCUUACUAAUUGAUUCUUAGUAAGGUGUUGGUUCACAGGGCUAACAUCUCCCACUUGCUAAGGAGGUUGUAUUGUAUUCAUCUGGCGAUUAGUCUCAGGCAACGGAUUUUGGAUCUGCCUUUGAGGUACAGUGAUAGGUCCCUUGUAUUGCCAUUUAUGAACCACGUUACCUGGUCUCCUCACUUCUUCUUCUAGGCUGUACGAUCUUCAUACAUUUUCCACAAAACUGUGAUUCCAAUCAUAAUCAACCUCUUGCUCAUAUUCCUUACCACUGGGAUCCUUUAGCAGGAUUUUUGUGAUUAAUGGUUUUGUCUCAAUUAACUUCAAUAAGAACCAUAGCAAAGGAUAUGUGUGUCUACUUACUGGUGCAUUCAUUAGCAAAUACUGGGGUUCCAAUGGCACUUUCCAUAUGACUCAAGGAGUCACAGCUCCAGCCAAUCAUAGGAAGUUUAGUGAACCAUAGAGGAAUUACUGUGAGAAUCUCUUUAUUGAAGUUUAGAUCACGGGACAAUUAUUUCAAUACUAUUGGUCUGUAGUUAAUUGUAACCCUGAAGAUUCUCUCAUAUGUCCCAUCGAUUGAAAUUGACUAUAUACUAGCCAACACCAUGCAGGAAAUAUUAGGUUCAACCAGUGUAGCCCAAUUUUGCUG